rnacentral:lncRNA from 1 species
AUGUACGCACACCACGCAGGAGGCACGUACUCAGCCAUGCAUAUAGACAGCCAAGUCAUUAUGAAUCUCGCAUUCUCGAAGACACGCACUGACGACAUCACGCACGUACGCACGCCCUGGCUGCUAGGAGACGCUAUUCCCUUUACCAGGCCCUCGUGCGCGCCAGCCAGCCAGGCCAAGGCCAGGGGAGCUCGAAACUGGCAACCUGGGCGAAGAACCGGAAGGAGGAAAAGGAAACGGAGGGAGAAAGACAGGUCAGGUCGGCCUUCACCUCCCCAGGCCCGUCCUGCUCCUGCCUUCCCCUGUGGGGCCCUCCGUGGAUGCUCUGGAGCCCCAGGCAAUAGCCAACUAGACCACAUCUGCUCAGGGGUUUAUUCUUCCGUCUGUUUGCAGGGCUGUUUUGGACUCAGUAUUCACCUAAGCACUCCAAACUACCCAGCACACCCUGCCUGCGCAGCUCUGUGCUGCACCUUCACUCUAGUCACGGGUGUGGCAGUCAGCUCACCAAUUCCUCCUGCUUCCCUGGGACUCGCUGGCUUUUAG